UAUACCAACAUGGAGAAGAUUAAUUUUGUAUUUGCAUUAAAUUUUGUUGCAACUCUGCAAUUGAUCUUAGUAUCUCCGAUGUCUAAUGCUCAAUCAAAAGGGAGAAUGGCGACGGUGCUGAGCAUAGAUGGUGGCGGUGUUAGAGGCAUCAUUCCGGGCACAAUUCUGGGAAACCUCGAAGCCAGACUCCAGAUGGCCCGGACGCAAGAAUUGCUGAUUAUUUUGAUGUGAUUGCUGGAACGAGCACGGGCGGGUUGGUCGCCACCAUGCUCACGACACCCGGUGCCAACAAUCGCCCUCUCUAUGCUGCCAAGGAUAUUGCCUCCUUCUACGUACAACACUCCCCAAAAAUCUUCCCGGAGAAAAAGUGAGGAUAAUACAUCCGUCCUUUAAAAUAUCAACUUUUAAAAUGACACGUUUUUUUAUGCAUGAUUGAUAGGGUAAGAGAGAUAAAAAAAGUGAUUGAAGUAUUAUUAUUAGAUUAGACUAAAAAAGUUUCCUAAAAAGGAAAAAAAAAUGCAUAUUUUAAAGGAUGAACCAAAAUGGAAAUCAUUAGUAGCAUUUUUAAAGGACGGAGGUAGUAGUACGUAAAUCUCUAAAUUCUACCAUAAAAAAGAACCGCAUUUUGUGAUUGAGAUUGUGAGUGGCUCAUAUUUUUGAUGAUGAUGAUUAUAUAUACUGUCUACAUAUUUUUGGAUAACUAUUCCUUCCCUCUUGUAAGGAGUUUUAAGAGUCGAAACAAUGUUGCGGCGGCGGCCCAAAAUAUGACGGAAAGUAUCUGAGGGAAUAUUAGGCAAUCACACCCUCAGCCAAACCCUA